ensembl:lncRNA
CCCCCAUCCCUGCUGGGACCCCCAGGACCCCCAUCCCUGCUGGGACCCUCCAGUCCUUCGGGGGACACUGGAGCCCCCCAUCCCUGCCGGGACCCCCAGGACCCCCAUCCCUACCGGGACUCCCAUUCCUCCCGGGACCUCCCAGCCUUUCGGGGACCCUGGAGCCCCCCAUCCCUACCGGAACCGCCAGGACCCCCAUCCCUGCAGGGACCCCCCCAUCCCUGCGGGGACCCCAGGACCCUCCCCCGCCACCCCGAGCCGCCCCCCCCCGCUCCCGGCGGCGGCCCCUGCAAUGCCGGCGGUGCCCAGGGUGGGAGCUGUGCUGGGGCCGGGCCGUGCCGAGCCGGGCGGCGGGGAGCGCCGCGUCCCGCACCCGCCGGGCCACGCCUGGCCACAGCCAGCUGGGCACCGGCACCGGGACCCGCACCGGGACCCGCACCCGCCGACGGGGCAGGGGUGGGCAAGCGGUGAGGGGGGACCGUGUGAGACCACCCCCCCCCCGCCCCGGCCACGGCAGGUGGGGGUGUGGAACUGGGGCAGCUGCGGCCUGUGGGACCCGCCGCCGACAACCGCCCGGAGCCGGGAGAGCGGCCGGAUCCGGCCCCGGCCGUUACCCUUCGCUGGGCACGAGGACGUGAGGCCCCGGUGGGUGCUGGGGGGGGUGGUUUUGGGGGGAGGAGAGAAGGGUCCGAGCCUGGGGGGGGAAGGGGGGGGGGUUGCAGCGGCUUGAAACCCCCCCCAGGGUUUACACGGGGAUUUGCUGGUGGCUCGUACGAGGCUGAGCCCACUCCUGGGGGUCCCUGCGGAGGUGCCCCAGCGCCUUGGGGACCGGUUGCGAUGCUGAAUUUGGGGGGCUUUCCCCCCCCCAAGGCCUUUCCACCGCGCUGCCGGAUCCGGUAGCAAACCAGGGCGUUAUGGCGGGGGCCGGCUCCGGCAGCCUCAUUUCCUAAGGAAAUCAGGCUAGAGAGAAAAGGCAGCCCCCCCCUUCAGUCCUUGCUCUGUCUGUCCGUCCGUCUGUCCGUCCGCAGCCCGAGGGAGAGGCUGAGUUUGGCCUGGGGGGGUGCCGGUGUGGGCACGGCCCCGGUUUACACCACCCCGGACGUGUCACAACCUGCCCGUUCUCAGCAGCCGCGGUCGCCGGGGGGAGGAAGCUGGGGGCUGGGGCCCAAACACCAGGGUGAGGGGCACGGGGGGCUCCGCGGGGGGGGUUGUCUCAGCCUCUCUGUUGGGACCUGGGGCCAGGCUGGCACUGGGGGGGGGGGUUGGAGUGGGCACAGCCGGGCACCCACCCCCCAUUGGUGCCCUGACACCACGGGGAUGGGCUGGGGGUAGAUGGGGGGCUGGAUCCUUCAGCCUGCAACUCCCGUGGGGUCGGAGCAUCCUUAGGCACCCCGGGGGGGGGGGUUAGCACCCCAUUUUGGGGUGCUGCCGGCCCCGGCACCCGGCAGCCGUGGCUGCGGGCCCCGCUCCUCCCCGCCGCGGGCAGGAAGCGCCGCCGGCUGCCGCGGACUUUGGACCCAUCCGGCGUCGCCGGCGCAGGGGCAGAGGAAGGGACUUUUCCUGUUUGCCGGCACGGUGGGGUCCGGCACCCAUCCACCACCGCGGCCCAGCUCCGGGCAAAACUCGGCCCUGCCUCGGCGCAGCCGCCCCCCCACGCUGGCGUGGGGACUCUCCGGCAGCUGAUAUAGGGUUGUGCUCAGGCCGCGGCCCUUCGUGGGCGGGUGAGUUUU